UACAGGGGGGGCAAGCGUUGUUCGGAAUUACUGGGCGUAAAGCGCACGUAGGCGGAUUGUUAAGUCAGAGGUGAAAUCCCGGAGCUCAACUUCGGAACUGCCUUUGAUACUGGCAAUCUAGAGUCCGGAAGAGGUUAGUGGAAUUCCCAGUGUAGAGGUGAAAUUCGUAGAUAUUGGGAAGAACACCAGUGGCGAAGGCGGCUAACUGGUCCGGUACUGACGCUGAGGUGCGAAAGCGUGGGGAGCAAACAGG
rnacentral:rRNA from 1 species